AUCCUCCUCGCCUCGAUCCGCCCCCACGCGCGGCGCCGGCGCGGCUGGCAAUGGCGGGCCGGCGGUCAAUGGCGGCCCGCCACUCGCCGGCGCGGCCUCGGGCUCGUGAUUCGGGCGCCGCAGAGCUCGAAUUCGGGGCGGAAACCUAGCCUUCGGUCGGAAUUAAGGGUGGCCCGGAUUGGAUCAGAGGGGCCGAGCUGGGGAUUCGGGAGCUUGAGCUGUGUGCCCUUCUCAUGUCGGAGGUUUGGUGCUCCGGUGGAGCUUGCGAUAUGGGGUCUUAGUUACCCGUUAUUUGGUGGAUUUGUCUUUUCACUGUGCAUGGAGACGAGCUUGGGAGUUUGAAUUUGGUGUGAAACCCUAGCUUGAUUGAGGUGCUGUGGAUUGGAUCAUCAAAGUGAUUUUCCACGAUUGGCAGUGUAAUAUCAGAGGUCAGAUUUUAAAGGUACAGUUUUUACUGGACAUUUACUUGGGGUUCGACUUUGCGGUUCAGUUGUAUUUAUAUGGAAUCUCUUUCCUGAGAAAUGCCGUCCUCUACACCACCAUCAGUGCAACCGGCACCAAGCUUGCAAUCAUUGCCAUCAUCUGCAGUAGGACAGAGCACUCGUAUUGACGUUCGUGAGAUCAAGUCCAAGAUUGUUAAAAGGAUUGGGCCUGAGAGAGCAAAGAAGUACUUUCAGCACCUGGAGAGGUUCUUAUCAUCAAGAUUGAGCAAGAAUGAAUUCGAUAAGCUCUGUCUUAUGGCACUUGGCCGUGAGAACCUCCCAUUGCACAACCACCUCAUCCGUUCUAUCCUCCAUAAUGCCAGUCAAGCAUGUGGCCCACCUGUAAUUAACGACCCUAAGCUGGUCAGAGAUGUCACCAAUUCAGGACAUGCACUUGUUCCUCCUGUCUGGGACAAUGGUGGUGCUUUGAACCAGAAUGUCAAAGAGAACAAACCAUUAAGCAGAAGAGAAAAUGUACUAACCCAGAAGUCAUCAUUGAAUCAUUGUGAUACUAUUAUUCGGGAGAAUGGUGUUCCUCAUUUGAGUAAUCUGAAGAGAUGUACACAACUUCAACAAAGUGAGCAUGUGGAGCCGCUUAUCAAGCGACCGCGUGAGAAGGAAGCAUUAAAUUUACAUGACUCCCUGCGUAGCAAUGGCCCUUCUUCUAUGCCUUCCAGAGAAAACCUGGGACAAGAAAUUAUACACCAUUCACAAGGUCCGGUGCAAGCUCCACUUGGCAUUCAGUUACAUUCUGCUAGUUUUGGUGGGGCCCGAAAACUUUUAGACCUUGCUUCUGUCACUUUGAAUGAUACCUCUGAUACUUGUGUUGAACUUGGUGAAAUAUGUGAUACAUUGUUAGUGAAAAGGAGGAUGGAAAAAAUGGCAGAAGCAGAAGGGUUGGGAGGGGUCUCGAUAGAGUGUGCCAAUUUGUUGAAUAAUGGAAUAGACGUUUUCAUAAAGCAGUUGUUUGGAUCUUAUGUUGAGCUAGUUAGAGCAAGAUCUCAACAUGGGAAACUGAGACAUGUGGCAUUGAAGCAGCAGCUGUGCCGAAAGCUAAUAAAUAGUGUAUCACAGCAAAAUCAUAUUCCUGGGCAGGGUGGUAUUAUACCUCCAGAGAUUAACUCCAUCUCAAUGCAAGACCUAAAGACAGUGAUGGGGUUAAACCCUCGUUUGCAUGGGGCUAAUACAUCACUGCUACUUGAAAAGAUCAAUUCAUAUGACUAGUUGGAUGGAACAAGUUGGAUCCUUCUUCGCACAAGAUUGUACCGUCUAUAUGGUAUGUCUUGCUUCAUGGCUGUUGUUAGGCCAUGGUGUGUCUUGAUGGGCGGUGGAAAAGGCAGGUGAACUCUGUACACUAUCCACAUUGUUCUGCAUCUCAUCUCCAGAGGAAUCUUCCAAAAAUAAGCAAAGAUCUGCUUAUCUAUUGGGUGCUGUAUUUAGAGCUCAUUCAUUUCGCACACCUAAGCACCAUUAUGGAAGCAAAAGUGCUUCGGACAGAACUAUGGUUCUGGACUCCAACAAAUUGAGGAGCCAUAACACACAUUUGAUCUUUGGCAUGAGGAUUUUGUUCCUUAAGUUAUGCCUAAUUGGUCAUUAUUAUAAAGAGCGCUACUAAUGCGUGGAACCAGGUUGGAAUACGAUAGCAGUCAUCACCAGUUUCAGAGAGGUUUCAUUCAAAAAAUUUCAAGUUUCAGAGAGGUUCAUCCAAGUUUCAUAAAGGUUUUAUCCAAGUUUAUAAGUUUCAGAGAGGUUUUGUUGCAGUUUUGGGGAGGUUUAAUAUAUAUCUCCCUUAUAGUAAUCGAAUCCCAUUCUAGCCAUUUUGUCUGGCCUUCCUCUGUCUGAUAGUUAUACAUUGUAAAUAUGUUCACAGCAUCUAUAAAUAAAAAUUACAGAAUAGGUCUUUACAAGUAUACGUACCUCACUGGAAUUCUAGCAUGGCAUAAUACAUUUGGGGAUCUUAUCACCAUAGGCCUUGUGGUCUGGAUCAGCUGUGCAUAGUUUGCUGGCAGUUGAGGUUGAAAAGGUAAAUCCAAAUAUACUGCCCCUGCUUAGUGUUAAGUAAACAUACAGCCAGUAUCAUACGCGUUACACUAUAUCCAAAGUUAUAUGAGGAAGUUUUCAAUCUCUUUAAUGCAGAUAGAGAUGCAGGGGAAAUGCAUUUUGGACUUGUUGUUUGAAGUUUACAUUUUGAAAUGCUUUUGUAAUGAAAACAAGAGUUGCUAGAUAGAUAGAGAUAGAUCUAGUGUUACCAGGACUCGCAAGUCCGAAUUUUUUUUUUUUUUUUUGCCACGUCGACACGCACCGGACGUCUCUGCGAGUCCAAGUAGCUAACUAGGGAGGGAGGUGACGGGGGAUGGGUGGACGUCACCGAGCCACCGAAAGGGGAGCUCAAGCGGGGAGCGUCAGUCCUCUGCGGUGACAACCUGGGCGGGGUCCUGCCGCGUGGCGCCGGCGAGCGCAGACCAGUGCGCCUGGAAGUGGGCCUCGACGGCGGCGGCGGCGGAGGAGAGUGUGUCGUCCCAGGAGAGUGUGGCGGAGCAGUGGGAGGAGCAGCAAGCGGAGGGGCGAGGUAGGCAGCGAAGAAGUCCACAUCAGCCGCCUAGCGCCCAGGGCCCCACGGCCCGGCGGAGGUGGCCUCAGCAUGCCUGCAGUUGCGGCAAGGAGAAGGUGACGGAGGGUGGUUGGUGGGGUUCGCCGCUUGGAUUUGGAAUUGGAAUUGGAGGUCUCAGUGGAACAGAGAGUGGAGGUGGAUGUGGGUUGUGAGCGAUCUGUAUUCAGCGUGGGUCUCUAUUUUCUUUCCUUUCCCCCCUUUUUAUCAUGUGAUGGCUAGGUAUUCAGCAUGAGUAUUUCAAUAUGUUAGUUGUUGUGGCUCAUUAGUAGCCUGAUUUGUGGCAACAAACAUAAAUUUCAAUUUUUAAAAUUAAAAAAAUGAUAUAUAUUAGACGAAUCCCUGAAUCCUAUUUUCGAGAGUUUGCCGAAUCGGACACCCGCACCCGAGUCAGACUCUGACACCCGCACCCAUUUUCAAGAGGGAGGGAGAAGGUUUAUUUACAAGACGCCUCAUUAUAUAGAGGACUCUCUUAACAAUUAUAGAUAGUUGAUCUAACUAAUUCAUUCCUAACUGUUAGAGAAGAUACCAAACAAUCUGAUAGAUUUUGAAUAAUAAGCCUUCUUAAUACUUGUCAUUGGGCCAAUUGUUAGUGUUACUUAUACUGUUUACCCAUGAAUAUUGCCACGGUAAUGUACCACAUAACAAAGCCGUGGCAUGUGACAGUUCCACUGGUACUUAGGUUACUACUGCAGGAUAAAAUUCUGAGUGUCACAUAGAUCUUUGGUUGCUUAGUUCCAUGAUUUGUUUUUAUGGAAGAAUGCAUAUUAGUAAACUAAAUUUCUCUAUGAGGUGUUAUGCAUGCACAGCAAUCCUGAACCUUCAGUAUUGUAAUGAUAUACAAUUUGUUUGGUAUAAAAAAAUAGCUCUGGACCUAAUUCUUCCACUAAGGAUAGACUAUAAUUAAAAGAUAUGCAUUUAAAAAAGUUUUCAUUUCCAUGCUGUUCAUAUGAGGUAUCCUUCUCUUUUCAUUUUUCCAUCAGCCUCUCUAGUUUAGAUUUAUUUAUUUUUUCUUUUUGCAAGGUAAUGGCUCUUGUUACUUCUAGUCAGUCUGGACAUUCCUUACCCUUAUCAUAAUGAGGUUUUUCUUUCCCAUUAUAUUGCUUUCUUUCACCCAUAACAGUUUUUUUUUAACUAGAUGUAAAGUUAUUUCCUUUCGUCUCAAUCCGUCUUCUGGAGUUCGCUUAUUUCUUCAUUUUGAGUUCUGCAGGAUCGAUGCCUUUUAAUUGAAUGUAUGUAGUUUAUUGCAUUUACACUUUGUAUGGUGUUACUGGCAGCAGUUCUGAUCAUAUAUGUUGAAACUUCAAAACUCCAUAUAGAAUUGUUUACCUUUUGAGCAUAUUGCCUUCUGUUCAGAUGAAAAAUUAGUGCCAGUAUUAGUAUUUGUUAUUCUGUAAAUAUACCCUUGAGGUUGGAUUUAUUUUGGUGGUGCUUGAUUUGUUUUACUCUUGAGCUCACUUGGUGAUAGUUUUGUUUAAUUUUUUGAGAUGCACUUGGUAAUAGAUAGGGGACAGUUAUUGGGAAGAUCUCAUGUUAUGUUGAGUCUUUGUAUUUAUGCCCUCAGCUUGCUUAAAGUGCUGUACAAUAUGCAAGGAUAUAUUUCUGAGCUUUCUUAUUGUUUGAGUUGGUAAAUAACAUUACUCAUGAAGCCUUAUAUGUUUGCCAAUAUUCUUCCGAGCUUUCCAAGAAUCCUUGCUGAUGAUAGCAAUCUGUAAAUCGUUAUUUCCAGGAUUGAGAGUCACAGCGUCCCAAAGCUUCUCUGCCACAGAUAAUCUCUGCAAGUGAUACGACGAUAGGAUAGUGGAAAAUAAAAACUCUUGCUGUUUCUCCACGCUCCUUGCCUCUAUGUUGGCAAACGAUGUGUUUAUAAUCACGAUUUAAUGGCGAAAUUGUGCCCCAUGUUGAAGCAUUCACGUACAGAAGUACAAUAAGGCAAUAAACCACUCAGCUGGUUUGUCCAUACUGUGCAAGCACCCAUAGCUUUGUAGAAACAAAUCAAUGUAACAUAUGUAAAGCCACUCAUACAUAAUGUUGCUUUGAUAUUUAUUAAGUUCUUGAAUUUUGUUCAUAUAUGUCGAUCGGCCUGUAUUUCUAAGAACAAGUUCCAUGAUAGUGCAUCUGGAUUUUUUUUUC